AUUGCAGCAUAAUUACGUUCGGCCACAACAGUGUACGAAAUUCAAAGACAUUCACAAUAUUUGUACUCGUUGCACCUUAAUUUAUUUGAGACCAAAGUUGAAAUAAAAGAAUUAGCAAAUAAAAUGAACUACAUUCACAUUCAUAUAUGCUUAUAUAUAUACAUAUAAACACGCAUAAAUAUAAGGACCUCAUCGUGGCCAGAAAGGUUGAUUUUCUCCUUGGUGAAAACGGAGGUGUCGAAAUCGAGAGAAGCAGGUCGCUUAAUGGUGGGAGUCGAGACCAUGCGAGCCGAGAGAACCGAACCUGCAGGUGAAGCCCCGGCUCGAGAAGCUGAAGCGCGAAGCCGAUUAAGCGACUGGGUAGAUGAUGAAAGGAAGCCCAAGCUGAGAGCAGGAACUUUGUUUGAUGGCUUGAAGAAUUUGGAUAAGGCGGAAGAGGUGGUGGUGGAGGAUGAGAAAGUGGUAGGCGCCGCCACCGCCAUCAGGGUUUUACAGCUUUUGAGUUGCUUAAAGGGACUAGAAAAUCAUUAAGGUUGG
rnacentral:lncRNA from 1 species